GCUGCACGGCCGGGGAGCCCUUCGGUGUGCUCGAUUUGUGUUUCUUUGGACUAACAAAAGUGUAUUUUCCUCGGAAUUUCUGCCACCAAAUCGCCCCGUCUCCUCGGUGAGGGAAGAGAAGAGCAGCCUCUGCGGUGUCAACACUAAACAUGUGUAUGACAUGAAAACAUGUUUGUUUUCCUCAAAAUUGGGUUUCAUUGAGUACAAAAGUCAUGACUACCUGCUAUGAAGAUAAAAAAAAAAAAAAGAAAAACAAAACAAAACAAUUUACAUCCUAGAAGAGGAAAAUAUAAGGCAAAGCGUUGCAGGAAAAGUGCAUCUGAGCUGUGUGGUGCUACAACAGGAAGAUGAUGGAGAGAAGGGCAAAUCCAACUGGAGAUUUCAGAAUCUUGUUUGUAAAAAUUAUGCAACGUAAGAUAAGGACACAGGAAUGAAAUGUAUCUUCAGUAUCCACAUUCACAGUCAUAUAUCUUCAUGAGUUUCCAAAAGAGAAGUAAAAAAAUAAAUGUUUUUUUCUUAACUUGUGCCCAUAAAUCAGUGAAUAAGAUGCUGCAGUGACUCGAUUGCAUAGGGCAGUGCGUAGCAGGACGUUUAGGAGAUAACACUUAGCACCUACCAGGACACUUCACAGCACAUCGACAGAGGAGAAGUGUAGAUCACAAGUGACACGCCCGCGACAGCAAAGAUGAUUCACAUUUACUGGUAGCUGAAAUGGAGAUGGUUGAAAUGGUCACCGUCCCAGCUGGGGGUCCCUGCGCUUCUCUCCCAGCACUUGCUACCCUCUUACAUUCUCAACAGAGGCAGCCAGUAGUAUGUACAGCAACUCCUGGUCUGUAACAGUUACAGUUUAUCACUCUGAAACUGAAGCGACUUCAGAAAUUUCAAGACACGGGGAUGAGUUCUGCCCUUUAUUUUCUAAUAGCUCUGCAGUGAAGGUAGAAAACAACUUUAGUGUGCAGAAUUGAUAGUGGGAACAUGUCUUCUUCUCCAUCUUCUUCUUCUCUGAAAGAAGAACGUGCAGGGGGAACAUUUUGGAAAGGUAAGGUGCAUUUGACAGUUUGAAACAGAGUUUGGUCCACAGUCAGAACAGAUAGGGAAGAAGGAACAGAGAUACACAGGCAGGCAGGGAAGAAAGGUGGUGGAGGAUUAUAAAGGGGGCAAGAAUGACAGUUUCACCUCUAGGUGAGCAAGUCUGAAGAGGAAAUAAUCUUAUUUUUGUCAUCUUAGGCAUUUGAGUCAUCAUUCAUCACAGAAAGGCUUCAACAAGAAAGCACUAUAUUGACUCUGGCGUGCAUUUUGGUUUUCCCAGUGAGGAGCAUAGAGGGAGGUAGACUUCCUCACUCAUUAAAAGAGGAGGAGAAUGACAUCAGAAUCUCCGGAGAUACUCCUGGAGAGAGCAUCGCUGUAAUAUCUGCUACAUCUGAAUGACUUCAGUUCUUCCCACCUUCUGGGCAGUGCAGCAGCCCUCAGUACAUUACAGACCUGCACAGGAUUGCUAUCUGAACACUGCGAGUCUCUUCCGUCCAGAUGCCCAACUCUGUCCAGCUUUUGCAUUUACCCGUUCAGGCCUCCUGGCAUAAGGAAGAAGUGAGCCACAGCCACGGGAUGGUGCAGCACCUGAGAGCUAUCAGACGUUCCCAUCUCUGUCUCAGGACCUGCCAGUACUUGUUCCUCAGAAAAUGAGCUCUGGGUUAUAUUUAGACAUAUGUGCAACAAGGCAAGGUAACACGGCAGUUGUUCUUCUCAAGCAAUUUUGUUAGGAAGCAUUAGCAUGAGUGCUAACCACACAAACGUGGUUAAUGGGCUGCUCUACCUCCAAAGUAGAGCGCCCUGAUCAGUUCUUUGCAGGCAGGUGGAGGAACAGCAGUGGGUGCGCCUGAGCAGUUCGGCCCCUCUCUUUCCUCCAACAACAAUUUCCAGAGAGAGUUAGGUGAAGGUCCUUAUGUGCUGCUUUCCCAUGUACAUGUUCCCCGGGUAUGAGGUACAAAUACUCCCUGCAAUGGUGAUUACACUCCUAUUACAAUGUUACGCCCAUGUCUAACUUGCCCUCAGUGACUUCAUCCUUAUGCAAGUUACAAAAGUAAUAACUCUUGUGAACAAACCAGCCAGCACAGUUUAACAGCUUUUAACCCUUAGCUAAGCAAUCUUAAAGUGGUACCUACAGAACUACAAACUCGUUGCAGUUCUUUGCCUACCUAAUAUCAACAUUGCUGCUGAUGUUGUUAAGAUUCCUAAAUGUAAUGAGGCCAUCGGGAGCUUUUUAAGUCAGUGUACAGCUAAGCAUCUGCAAUGGGCAGGACAAGGAGGGUAGGGCAGUGGGUGACUGUCCCUGCAGAUUCAGCUUCCUGGAAUGUUGCACACUCCUCCCUGUACUCUUGGCUAAAGGAUGGGGCACUUAUUGAGGCCUCCCUUCAUCAUCAUCAUCAUGCUGUGUCCUUUUGGAACUGAAAACUUACAGUCCAAAUAGAUGCAGAUAUGGCAGUAGAAGUACUGGGAAAAAUGUCCUUCACGGAGAAGGGAAAAUAAGCAGCAAAAAUGCUGGAAUCAAAGGUUUUCCCUGAUGCAAGAGGGAGAAAAGAUGCACUAUGGUCCAUACCAUAGAGGACCCCCACACACGCUUUUGACCACGUUAACACAUUUUUACUUUUCUCUCAGACAGUCAAGGAGAUGUCGUAUCAGUCAGCUACCAAAGAACAGAAUUAUAAUUGUCUUAAAGUACUUCGGUCUUCUAAAACUAAACUAAAUCGUUUGACAAAGUGUCUUCUGGACCACCCUGGCAUGCUUUGAAUGUAGCCACCAUCCAGAGGCUGAGAACAUGAGGCCUAGAGGCAAGCUGUCUGCGACAGGUAAGCAAGACUAAGAGAAGCCUGAACAAUUGUGGCUUCUCCCAAAAGUCCUUUCCACGUGGACUGACAGUGCCUCUCUUCCACCCACAUUUCAUUAUCAGCGAAUGCCACCAAGAAAAUGUGCCACCCACUGUCCCUUCAGAGCAGUCACUCCAGCAGCACUGAAGCCAGACAGCUCUGAGCAGCAAGCAGCCCACACAAAGCAAUGCUGAGCAACCCGCCCUUCCACCCCACAACCCCCUGGCAUUUCUGCACACUUUCUGCUCUCCACCCUUUUCUAUCUGUGUUUCUGUCCUCCCUGUGGGUGCUGAAACUGCUGCACUGGUGCUAGUAGGGUACAACACGACCUAGAUGCUCCCCCACCUCCAUCCAGAGUCAUGUUUGACAAGUCAAGGGGACUUGAGACUAUACAUGCAUACAGAGCAGGUCCAUAGUCCACAAGACAUGGCUUAGUGGGCAUGGUGGUGAUGGACUGAUGGUUGGACUAGAUGAUCUCAGUGGCUUUUUCCAACCAUAAUGAUUCUAUGAUUUUGUGAUCUCUCUGGCUGGAGCCACCCCACAUGCUGAUGAGGCAAGGCAUGGGGUAUGGUUUUUUGUCACUUUUUUCUUUUUUGUCAUGCAGUCAGUGACAGUGGCACCAAAACACAACGCAGGUUGGGCACUCGCCACCACUGAGGCCAAAGUGCUGUCAUACACUGUAGUUUACUGAGAAGUGAGGGGGUCAAACAGGUCCUGGCUCCAGAUGAGGCUUUGUAUCACCAUUCCAGGGCAGGAGUAUCACCAGGUAGCGCCUAGAUGCCAGCAACAUAGGCUGGCUUUCUUCCCUUAGAAAUCAGCUACAUAGUUUUGAAGAGGUAUUCAGUGCUGUGCCCUAGCUUAUGUUUUUACAGCAUGUGCUUCCCAGCUGUGCAAGCUAUGUGCUGCUGUCAGAAAGGCACUAUCCCUGGUUAGGAGGUCACCCAGUCUACCAGGGAUACAAGUAUGGAGGGCUGGAGCUUCUAUAUCCCCACAGCUAGCAAAUGAGAGCAGCCACUCAGCACUUCUGCUGUCAGACUGUUAGGAACUCAGGAAUAGGGCAGCAUACAUGGGUAGGGAUAUGUGCAGAGCGUGGGCAUGUUUGAGGCCCACUGUGUUGUGAUUUCAUAUACCUUGCCUGCAACAUACUGUAUGCACACUAAUUUGAAAGAGUUGAACAUGUUAGGCCUAAAUCUUCACCUUCCUGACACAGGGUUUUUUAGUGGGAUGUUUUGUUUUUCUUUCUCUUUUUAACACUUAAAAAAGCAAUGCAACUUUGGUUGAUUUAUGCAUGAAAUGAGGAGCAGAAUAACAAGCCUCGCUUGUGUGCUGUCUGAGCUUAGAAGUCAGCAACACUUCACAUUUGACUUAAGGAGCAGUAAACAGGACCGGCAUCGAGCAGGUUGGAGCAGAAAUCAGCCAUGUCCUGCUGUAUGGAGGCAGCCAGCAAAGAGAAGCCAGAUGGGUUUUUGGAUUUACCCAGAUUGCAGUGGGAGGCACCUGAAAGGAAGGAAAUAUAGUCACAGCAUCACACAGCUGUUGAGAAGAGGGUCUGCUGAUCAUCCGAGUAAUUAUGAAGUUAAGUGUUCAGAUUUAAUGCACGUUCAUUUAGAUAAGCAUCUUCUGGUGGGAGGAGGUAGGGAUGGGGAGGUGCAGGAAGAGAGAGAAAGAAAAAAAGACAAAAAUGAUUUAAGCUAAAUAGUGAUAGCAAAACCUAAGUGGAGGAAGAUGUUUAGUUGCUGCUUGUUCUAUUAAUUCUUUAGAGGAAAGAGGCCUUGGCAUUCUUGGGUGCAUGGAAAGGAUUGCAAGGGUUCCUGCUGUAAGCUGCAUCACUGCGUGAGGCCAGAAAUGUUUGUUUGCAUUUGGCACUAAGUUAUUGCCUGAUGCUGAGGGAGACCCUUGCUCGUGCUCCUUCACCUCAGUACUGCGGACUCACAAGAAACAGGGGUAUAACACAGGGCUUAAUGGUAGAACACGACUCUGCAGUUGGUGGCCUCAGCCUGAAUCCCGAGUGGGAGAAAUGAAAGGGGAAGGUGAAUUAAGGCAGCCUUGAGAUUCUUCUGCCCUUUGUCGUGGAUUCUGGACAGAGACUUAGGAUCGCAGCACUGUAAGAGCUGAGUCACUCACAUGAAACUUUCCUCUGAGUCAAUAUCCUAUUGGUGACAGAGACGGUGAAAAAAAAGUACAGUAACUGAUAUCUCAUCAAAACGAUCCCUUAGCUCAGGGAUCCCCCCCCCCCCCUUAGACAGGGGCUGUCUUUGGAUUGGAGACCCUCAAGUGGAUUUUUUUCCCACUUUCUUUGACUACUUUCUCUGGGUAUAGCAUCUCUCAUUUCUUAUGCUUUAGGAUGUGAUUUAGAAAGUCAAAUAACAAAAGGCUAAGGAACAGCAAUGGUGAGGGUGGGAGAUGGGCAAAUGGGAGAUUGGUAUGUAUAUACUGUAUGGAGUAUAUCCCUUCAAUCAAGGAGGGUCCUAAUUAUAUGCAUUUAAGUGU